rnacentral:rRNA from 1 species
AUUGAACGCUGGCGGCAGGCCUAACACAUGCAAGUCGAGCGGAGCGGCGGACGGGUGAGUAAAGCCGAGGAAUCUGUCUGGGAGUGGGGGAUAACGUCGGGAAACGGGCGCUAAUACCGCAUACUAUCAGAUGAGCCUAGGUCGGAUUAGAUAGUGGGUGGGGUAAAGGCCUACCAGGGCGACGAUCCGUAACUGGUCUGAGCGGAGGAUCAGUCAAACUGGAACUGAGACACGGUCCAGACUCCUACGGAAGGAAGCAUUGGGGAAUAUUGGACAAUGGGCGAAAGCCUGAUCCGCCCAUGCCGCGUGGUGGAAGAAGGUCUUCGGAUUGUAAAGCACGUUAAGUUGGGAGGCGUUACCAACAGAAUAAGCACCGGCUAACUUCGUGCCAGCAGCCGCGGUAAUUC